AGCGGCGUACGGGUGAGUAACACGUGGAUAAUCCACCUCUUAGUGGGGAAUACCCCUGGGAAACCGGGGACAAUACCGCAUAAGUCCGAGAGGAGAAAGCAGCAAUGCGCUGAGAGAGGAGUCCGCGGCCGAUUAGCUAGAUGGCGGGGUAAAAGCCCACCAUGGCGACGAUCGGUAGCCGGCCUGAGAGGGCACACGGCCACACUGGCACUGAAACACGGGCCAGACUCCUACGGGAGGCAGCAGUGGGGAAUCUUGCACAAUGGAGGAAACUCUGAUGCAGCGACGCCGCGUGGACGAUGAAGCCCUUCGGGGUGUAAAGUCCUUUCGACCGGAACGAUAAUGACGGUACCGGUGGAAGAAGCUGCGGCUAACUACGUGCCAGCAGCCGCGGUAAUACGUAGGCAGCAAGCGUUGUUCGGAAUUAUUGGGCGUAAAGAGCUCGUAGGCGGUUUGCCAAGUUUGGUGUGAAAUCUCCCGGCUUAACUGGGAGGGUGCGCCGAAUACUAGCAGGCUAGAGUACGGGAGAGGAAAGCGGAAUUCCUGGUGUAGCGGUGAAAUGCGUAGAUAUCAGGAGGAACACCUGCGGUGUAGACGGCUUUCUGGACCGAAACUGACGCUGAGGAGCGAAAGCGUGGGUAGCAAACAGGAUUAGAUACCCUGGUAGUCCACGCCCUAAACGAUGCAUACUUGGUGUGAG
rnacentral:rRNA from 1 species